GACGAAGGAUGCAAGCGUUAUCCGGAUUCAUUGGGUUUAAAGGGAGCGUAGGCGGCCUCGUAAGUCAGUGGUGAAAUCUUUGGGCUUAACCCAAAAAUUGCCAUUGAUACUGCAGGGCUUGAGUACAGUUGCUGUGGGCGGAAUAUGACAUGUAGUGGUGAAAUACAUAGAGAUGUCAUAGAACACCGAUUGCGAAGGCAGCUCACAAAACUGUAACUGACGCUGAGGCUCGAAAGUGCGGGGAUCAAACAGG
rnacentral:rRNA from 1 species